rnacentral:tRNA from 1 species
CCCUUGGUAGCUCAACUGGGAGAGCAGCCGUCUAUGUGGACGGAAGGUUGCAGGUUCGACUCCUGCCUAAGGGGCC